GCCGACCAAGGCACCACUAGUUAAUAUAGUCACUACAUACCCAUUUGAGAUGGUGUCGAUCGACUUCCUACACCUAGAAAGUUGCAAAGGAGGAUAUGAGUAUAUUCUAGUGGUCAUGGAUCACUUCACUCGCUUUGCUCAGGCGUAUGCAUGUACCAACAACAGUGCUCAGACAGCAGCU